rnacentral:pre_miRNA from 1 species
UGGAUAGAUUAUUGUAUUCGACUGUAUUCACGGCGUGAAACAGGGGUUUACACUAUUUUUAAACGGAAAGUGAAUCAAUUAACAUAAUAGACUCCU